rnacentral:misc_RNA from 1 species
GAUGAAGAACGUAGCGAAAUGCGAUAAGUAAUGUGAAUUGCAGAAUUCAGUGAAUCAUCGAAUCUUUGAACGCACAUUGCGCCCGCCAGUAUUCUGGCGGGCAUGCCUGUUCGAGCGUCAUUUCAACCAUCAAGCCCCCGGCUUGUGUUGGGGACCUGCGGCUGCCGCAGGCCCUGAAAUGCAGUGGCGGGCUCGCUGUCACUCCGAGCGUAGUAGUUACAUCUCGCUCUGGGCGUGCUGCGGGUUCCGGCCGUUAAACCACCUUCAUAACCCAAGGUUGACCUCGGAUCAGGUAGGAAGACCCGCUGAACUUAAGCAUAUCAAUAAGCGGAGGA